rnacentral:snoRNA from 1 species
GCUUGUUAAUGAUGAGAAUAAUUUUUUUUACAGUUAUCCCUGUCUAAAACAUAGUGUUGAGAAUGGUAAAUCUGAAUUUGC